UACGGGAGGCAGCAGUGGGGAAUAUUGCACAAUGGGCGCAAGCCUGAUGCAGCCAUGCCGCGUGUAUGAAGAAGGCCUUCGGGUUGUAAAGUACUUUCAGUCGUGAGGAAGGUGUUAAGGUUAAUAACCUUAGCAAUUGACGUUAGCGACAGAAGAAGCACCGGCUAACUCCGUGCCAGCAGCCGCGGUAAUACGGAGGGUGCGAGCGUUAAUCGGAAUUACUGGGCGUAAAGGGCACGCAGGCGGUUAAUUAAGUUGGAUGUGAAAUCCCCGGGCUUAACCUGGGAAUGGCAUUCAAGACUGGUUGGCUAGAGUCUUGUAGAGGGGGUAGAAUUCCAUGUGUAGCGGUGAAAUGCGUAGAGAUGUGGAGGAAUACCGGUGGCGAAGGCGGCCCCUGGACAAAGACUGACGCUCAUGUGCGAAAGCGUGGGGAGCAAACG
rnacentral:rRNA from 1 species